UAUAACAUAUAAUUAAUGCAGUGGAUCCCAUUAGAGCUCCGUAGUUAAGCAUGCUCAUGCUAAAGUAGUACUAGGAUGGGCGACCGCCUGGGAAGUCCUAGUGUUUUAC
rnacentral:rRNA from 1 species